AUGGGGUUAUAUAUGGGCUCACACGUCGGGCCGGGGGGUCCUGCGUGGGUGACACGCACCGUCAUGGGGUCACACACAUCGUUAUGGGGUCAUAGACAUCGCUCUGGUGUCACACGUGUCACCAUAGGGUCAUACAUGGGGUUGCGUGUGUCACCAUGGGGUCACACGUAUCACCAUGGGGUCAUACAUGGGGUUGCGUGUGUCACCAUGGGGUCACACGUAUCACCAUGGGGUCAUACAUGGGGUUGCAUGGGUCACCAUGGGGUCACACGUAUCACCAUGGGGUCAUACAUGAGGUGGCAUGGGUCACCAUGGGGUCACACGUGUCACCAUGGGGUCAUAUAUGGGGUUACACGUGUCAUCAUGGGGUCACACGUGUCACCAUGGGGUUACACGUGUCACCAUGGGGUCAUACAUGGGGUUACACGUGUCACCAUGGGGUCAUACAUGGGGUUGCAUGUGUCACCAUGGGGUCACACGUGUCACCAUGGGGUCAUAUAUGGGGUUACACGUGUCACCAUGGGGCCACACGUGUCACCAUGGGGUCACACGUGUCACCAUGGGGUCACACAUGUCACCAUGGGGUCAUAUACUAGGUCACAUGUGUCACCAUGGGGUCAUACAUGGGGUUACACAUGUCACCAUGGGGUCACAUGUGUCACCAUGGGGUCACAUGUGUCACCAUGGGGUCAUACAUGGGGUCACAUGUGUCACCAUGGGGUCAUACAUGCGGUUACAUGUGUCACCAUGGGGUCACACGUGUCAUCAUGGGGUCAUACAUGGGUCACAUGUGUCACCAUGGGGUCAUACGUGGGUUACACAUGUCGUUGUGGGGUCACAAGGGGGGGGGACCAUGGGGUCACGUGGGGCUGUGUGGGUUCACACACGUGGCUGUGGGGUCCUGCAUGGCUCACACACACAGUCAUGGGGUCACACGCGUGGCUGUGGGGUCAUACACGUCACCGGCGGGUCACGCGGGUCACCACGCGGUCACACACGGGGUUACACGUGCGCCCCACGGGCUCACACGAGGAGCUACAUACAUCACGGGGUCGUACACGGGAUCACGUGUGACGUCACGGCGUCACACGGGGACAACCCACGACAACACACGGACACUACGGGGACACUACAGGGACACUACGGGGACACUACGGGGACACGGGGACACACAGGACACCCCCCGAGUGG
rnacentral:lncRNA from 1 species